UGGUCCAGCCUGCUCUCUGCUGCCCAGUGCCCCUCCCAUCCCUGCAGGGGCCUGUUGACUUCUGAGGGCACAGCCAUCCUCCCUCAGGGCCACCCCAGCCCUGUGUGCUCCCACUCCUGCAGGUGCUCUGCACGGGCCCCACUCUCACCACCUCAGGUCCAGCCCUCGCCGUCAUGCCUCCUCUCCCACAGGAUCCCCGGGCCACCACACCCCUGCUCCCCUGCUCUCCUGCCCCAGGACCAGUGGCCCAACAUCCUCACUUGAUGCCGUAACGCUCCCUGAACAUAAUAUUGUUUUGGAAGGUGUAGCUCACAUCCAUGUCGAUAAAUUUGAUGUCCAGAGAGUAGAGCCUGGCCUGCUCUUUCAUUCUCUGUGGGUAGAGCCGGGGGUGGGGGGGUGGCAAAGUCAGAGGCCUGGAACCCUAACCAGCAGAGCAGGCACUGCCAGCUCAACAUGAGUGUUUCUAGAGAAACCUUUCUUUUGCUUGUUUCGGAAGCCAGGCAGGAUCACAAGGGUGCCCAGGUCAUAGCCUGUGCCCAGAAGCCCUGUGGAUAAUCAGCCUGUGACUUCUCCAGUCCCAGACCCCCACCCAAUGGUGACACACUGGCCAGGCCACCAGAUCCCCUCCUCCCCCACCCCACACAAGGCAGUCCAGGAUGACAGUGCCUCUGCCCUGGUGAUGGGCUUGUCCCCUGGGAGGCUGCUCCCAGGUGUGUUUGUCCCAGGGUAGUGGGAUGCUGAGAGGGCAACUGGGCCUCUGUCCCUUGACCCCUCUGAGUCCCACCACAGACAGGCUGGGUGAGGCAGAGGGCCAGAAGGGGAGCCCAUGCCUUGUUUUCAGGGCCUUUUGAGAGCCUGAGGACUAAGUGUGAUGCUGGCUCUUUUCCCACAGUGUCAGUCGGUGUUCACCAUGCUCGGGGGCCUCUCAGAUCACCCAUCAUUGAGCAACUUGGACACCUGUGGCCACUAUCACACCCGCUCCCUUGCACUUCUCCUGAUGAUGCCGCUCAGCCGGGUGCAUAGAGCACCCACCCUGGGCUGUGGGACUUAGGGUGCCCACGGUGCAGAUGGGGGCUGAGUGGCAGGAACUGGCCAUGGGUAGGGACCUCUCUUGGUUAAUGGAUUGAGACCUGUUUCUUGACCCAGGUCAGUCAGGGCUGUGUUCAUCUGGCCGGGUGGUCUCUAUCCAUGGUUUCUGUGGGGUCACCUUGCUCUUUCCUCUUGGCUUCUGUCCCUUGCCCUGUGACUCUGUCCCCCUCAGGGGUAUGGGAGGCCUUAGUGUGAUGCUAGGUGGCACCUGUGCAACCCUGGACUCAGUGUCUGCAUGGUUGGCAUGGCUUUCCUGGCAGGUGGGCCCUGGGCCUAUAAGCCUGGGAGGUGCCAGGAAAUCUGGGGACAGGCGAGGGUCCCUGAGGCACAGGUGGAGGGGCCAUACCUGGUAUUUCCCUUGGUUCUCUGCCUUCACCUUCUCCAGGUCCAACAGCAGAGACCAUGCCUGUCCUCUCACCUGUGGGGGGAUCCCCUUGUAGACCCGCCGGCGCAUCUGCAGACCCUUGCCAGCAGCCUGGAGAUCCUGUCACAAUGAGAUGAGGAGGAAAAAGAAGGUGGCCAGGAGGCCAAGGCCAGCAGCUGUCCUGCAGCACCGGGGUGUGAGCUCCCUGGGCCAGGGGAGCUGAGGGAAGAGAAGCUGCCAGCUGUGGAGGGCCUCACAGGCUCAUAGGACUCAUAUUUUGCUUAGGCAUCAAAAGCCCAGGGAACAAAAGAUAAACAUUGAUAAAGUGGACUUGAUUAAAUUUAAAACAGCUGUGCCUCAAGUGACAAGUGACACUGUCAAGAAAAUGACAACCCACACAAUGAAUAAAAAUGUGAGACUGACCUGACAGAUAAGAGCCCAGUAUACAGAAUAUGGCCAAACUCCUUAUUCCACUAUAGAAAUGGCCCAAGUAGACAUUGGGCAGAGGGCCUGAAUAGACUUUCCUGCAAAAUCAAGGCCAAAGGGCACAGGAGACCAAUCUCAACAUUAGCAUCAGGGGGAUGCAAAUCAAAGCCAGCAGAGGACCAAACUUUUCACCCACUGGAGUGGCUGUUACUGAUCAAAUGAGGAUGUGGAAAAGCUGGCACCUUCCUGUUUGGCUGGCAGGAUUGUAAAAUGGGGCAAUUUCUUUGGAAAACCAGGCCUUUCUCCAAAAGUUAAAUGAAGAGUUGCCACAUGAUACAACAGGUCCUUUCCCAGGUAUACACCCAAGAGAGAGGAAGACAGGGACACAGGUAGAUGUACAUGCACAUUCAUAGCAGAGCUACUCCCAAGAGCAAAAAGAGGGCCCCAUCUAAGUAGCCCUGGACAGGUGGCUGGAAGACCAGGAUGUGGUGGUACAUCAUUCAACCAGAAAAAGAGGGAAACACUGCCACGUGCUGCAACAUGGAUGGAUAUGAUGCUCAGGAAAGAAAGCAGACACGGAGACCACAUGCUGUGAAGUUCCAUGGAGGUGCUGUGUCCAGCAGAGCCAAGCCCAGACAGAAAGAGGAAUUCAGGGAAGAUAAUGAUGUGGACUCUAAGCUCCUGGCUUUGACAUGACUCAGGCCAGCGAUGGACCACCCAGGGUUUCCAAGAAAGUACUCAUGUGGACUCUAAGCCCUUGAAGUUUGACUUGACUCAGGCCAGCAAUGUGCCACCCAGGCCUCACCACACUGCCGGAUUUCACCAGGUCCAAGCAUCAAACCAGGAGCUCACUCAGGUACACCCUUUAAGAGACCCCACACAGCUCGCCAUACUACCUACUCUGGGAUGGCCUGGACCCCCUUCUUCCCCUCCCCCCUCUUCCAUCUUUCCUUCAACCUCUUCCAUCCAUCCAUCUCCUCCUGCUCAGUCCUUUCCUCCCCCUCCUCUAUCUAUUCCUCUUCAUCCUCCUGCUCUUCAUGCUCUUCCUGAUCCAUCUUCCUUGCAUCCUCCUCCUCACCUCCAUUCAUGUUUUCUCCUCUUCUCACUCUUGUCCCUAUUUCUUAUCCUCAUUCACCUCCUCCCGCCAUCCUGCUGCAUCCACCUUUUCUCCUGAAUCCAUCUUUCCUCUUGCUAGACCUUCCUUCCUUUCUUCCCAUCCUCCUCCUCCUCCUGCAUCCUCUCCCCUCCUGCACAUCCUUCAGCCUCACAUGUCCAUCCUUCUCCCUCUCUUCCUUUUCUGGACAAGAGUCUGACCUCUAACCUUGGGCUCCUCCAGGUCGUCGGGCACCUCUGGCAACAGCCCGUAGUUCAUGGAACCCAGAAGGGGCUUCAUGCUCAGGGAUUGGUGCUAGAGGUCCUUGUCACCUUGACCUCAGACCCAUGUGCUCCAGGCACCCACCACAGUCCUCUUCCCUUGAGAUAUUGGUAGAGGGUGAGGGUGCAGCUCAAGCCCACCUUUCU